rnacentral:lncRNA from 1 species
GACUCUUCAUAGGGUCUCGAGAGACAUGACAAUACUGUUCAAAACGUCUCCAAGGCAAAAUUAAUUUUAUUCCGUUGACUGGAAAUAUAUCACAAAGAAUGAGGUUUUUCCAGUCCCACCCACAAGACAGUCCUCUGAAAGUGGAAAAGCUUGCCCGGCCACCUGCCCCUACCCUGACCUUGGGGUAGUUCAUCAGUUGAGCACAACCCCCAUGCCGGGCAUAGACUCACCCAUCUCUUUUCCUCAGGUGUGAUGGGUUGGCUUUCAAACUAGUGUUUCUCGCACUGUUAGAAGUUAUUGUCCAAGUGGAAAGGAUGCAGAGGCUGGAAUUUUCCAGUGGGAUAGAAGAGCAGGCUAAUUAGGAAGGAAUAUUCCAGGGAAUGCAAGGUGCAACUGCGAUAUUGCUCCAUCCCUGGACCUGAGGGAGACAAAGAAAGUUCUUAAAGGGCUGCAGAUGCUGUCCUCUGAAGGUCUUCUCUGGAUCGCUGGCCUACUUUGGAAACAUGCAGGCCAUUGAGUGCCAUGGGGCUGCCCAUCAGUCUGAUCCACACGAAAGGCUCUGUGCAUUUCAAGAGCAGGCUGGUAGCUCGCCAUUCCUGGGAGGAUGCUGACAUCUGUCAAGCCCAGAAUGCCUCUCUCAGGGCUCUCAGACCUGUUAAACUGAGGCCAGGAGAGCAGAAGAAAGAACUCAAAGUGUGGACGGUACUACCAGCUGGAGAAAGCCCAGGAGCCAGGACUCUUCCACCCACUAUCUAGGUUAUGUUGAGUGACAUUCCUCCCUGGCUUCAGGUUUCUCUAAAGCCAGAGGAAAAGUAAACCAGACAAGCCCUCCCAUCUAUUUUGUCUGAAACAAGAUGGAGUGAAUGCUCCCUACUGAGAGGGUCUGGAUUUCACCCAUGAAUUGCACUAGGAACUGGGAGCUCCUUUUUGAACACAAGUCCCAAGAGGCAGUUGUGAUAAAGUCUCUCUUUUGGUGUCCGCUGUCUGUAAAUGAAACAAUGCAAAUUGGUGUAUGUUAAAUGUGUCACAGCUUGCAGGCAAGAGGUUUUGUUUAUUCUCUAAGGACUUGCUGACUCGAGGGAGCAUCAAAGAUGAGCUUUCUGUCUGUCUUGGCAAGUGUGAAAAUAAAGGGAGUCAGUCACCUCCCCAAAGGUCAUGUGAAUCAGAAUUCAGGAGAAAGUUGGAGGAAACAAUGGCAGAUUCCAAGAAGAGAUGCUUGUUUCUCCAUUUGAGAAAGCCUUACUGAAAGCUACUGAAUAAAGAGCACAAUUUCCAGUUAUUUCUUUCUUUGCUUUUUUUUUUUUCUGGCCACUAUAACAGCACUUCCAGUAUAUGUUGAUAGUAGCUUGUAAUUAUUCCUAAUACCCCAGAAAGAAGAGAGUCGUGAUCUUUGGUGAUUGUGAGGAAUUAGAUUAACAGUCGCGGGGGACCGGCUACCUGCGACAGCCCUUUAAAUGGCUAAUGAGGGAUGCUGAGUGCUGAGCGGUGCCUGCUUUUGAUGUGGCCCACCCAUGACCAGGGAGAGAGGGCAGGAAGAGAGCAGCUGCAGGAUCCACAAGUCUCUAACCCUUCUGCCCCAGGCAACAUAAAACCCUAGAUUCUUGUUCUUUUUCCCUCUUCCUAAAGUAGACUGACGUCCCAGUAAUUGUUUUUCUAACAAGCCCUGUUGUUCUCCCUGGGAAAGACCUAGAUUGGCCAAGAAAGGAUCCUGUCAGCUCCUGGUGGAGAGUUGCACAAGCCAGUGGCUCUCAACUCUCUCCAAGGAAAAUUAAAGCAUAUUUUCUCUUUCUUAGCUCAAAAUCAGCUUUCAGGGGUCCUUAUUGGGGUCUGAUUUUCUUCCCCAGUUCUGAAUCCAGGAAGAAGCUUUUUCUCCAAGGACCAACCAAAAACAAUGACUUUGGAGAAAAAUUAGACUCAGAAAGUCUGUCCAGGCAUUGGGUUGGUGAACUGUCAACUGUUGGAUGGGGAGGAGGGGUCGCUGUGAUCGUAGCGGUCAUUAGACUUGGGACGUGAGUUGUCUCUCAAAGCACAGUAGUAAAUGACUGUAUUUUGUAUAUUGCCCCCAAUAUGUUGGGUGUAAAUAGAAGCACAGCUGGGGAUUGAUCAUGGCCAGGACGAUUGGAGCUUGGCAGCUCUCAUAUCCAGAAUAAGCCACUAAGACGGAACUCAUCAAUCACCAUCUUCCCAUUUACCUCAUUAGCAUCCCAUUUUCUCUCAUUCAGUAUUAGUUGAUGAUUUCUGCUAUUAAGUGAUGAGAAAGUCAGCAGACUAGUCAAAAAAGAAUCUUUAUAUAAAAUGUACAUAUUAAUAUAAAUUAACUUAGCAUGCAACUUACCGAUCAAAUGAAGUAUAUAUUAUUAAUAUGUUAUCUUAGUGUAUAAAGGAAAACUGCCAUAUUUACCAGAUGUUUUCUUUAACCGAACUUGUCUGUAAAUAUAUAAUCUGUAUAAAAAGAGUCUAAUUUACCAUUAUUUAUGCAAUAGAAAAAAUAAAAGUUUUUUUUUCUUUUGA